AGGAUAAACGCUGGCGGCGUGCCUAACACAUGCAAGUCGAACGUCCUUGCGGUCUUCUUCUUCGGAGGAGGACCGCGAGGGAGUGGCGGACGGGUGAGUAACACAUGGGUACCUGCCUUUCAGUGAGGAAUACCGGCGAGAAAUCGCCGACAAGACCGCAUAGGCUUCCUUCGGUAGCCCGAGGGAAGCAAAGUUACUUCGCGAGAGGUGACGCUGGAAGAGGGGCCUGUGGCCGAUUAGCUAGUUGGGGGGGUAACGGCCUCCCAAGGCGACGAUCGGUAGCUGGUCUGAGAGGACGAUCAGCCACACUGGGAUUGAGAACGGCCCAGACUCCUACGGGGGGCAGCAGUGAGGAAUUUUCCGCAAUGGACGAAAGUCUGACGGAGCAACGCCGCGUGCAGGAGGAAGGUUUUCGGAUCGUAAACUGCUUUUCUCGGGGACGAGCAAGGACGGUACCCGAGGAAGAGCCCCGGCUAACGUACGUGCCAGCAGCCGCGGUAA
rnacentral:rRNA from 1 species